CCUAGCCUUGGAGUGGGGAAUAACAGCUGGAAACAGCUGCUAAUACCGCAUGAUGCAGUUGGGUCGCAUGGCUCUGACUGCCAAAGAUUUAUCGCUCUGAGAUGGACUCGCGUCUGAUUAGCUAGUUGGCGGGGUAACGGCCCACCAAGGCGACGAUCAGUAGCCGGACUGAGAGGUUGGCCGGCCACAUUGGGACUGAGACACGGCCCAGACUCCUACGGAAGGCAGCAG
rnacentral:rRNA from 1 species